CCCAAGAUUAGUUGUCUGUGAUCAGCACGGCUCGCAAGCGAGGUUUCUAUUAGCUAAGCUGAAUCCAUCAGCGACAUACAACAACGCAAACGAGAUGUCAACAGGGUCAGAUGUGAUAUUCACAGACGACGUGAGCCUUCAAGUCUUCUUUGUACAUCUUCAGAAGCUCGCCGUGCAAUCUUGAGUAGUCAUUUUUUUUUUUUUUUUUUUUUUUUUUGUUGAACAAAGUCUUUUUUUGUUUGUUUUCUAAACUCAUCAACUAACAUUGAAAACUUUUAAUUUUGUCUUUAUUAAAAAAUUGUCUUGUAAUAUUAUGUUUUUGUUCAAGAACUUUGGUAUUAAGUUUUGUACCAUGCAUAUCUUAAUCCUAAUCAAAUUGCGAACC